rnacentral:rRNA from 1 species
GACGAAGGGGGGCUAGCGUUGUUCGGAAUUACUGGGCGUAAAGCGCGUGUAGGCGGUUAUCCAAGUCGGGUGUGAAAGCCUUGAGCUCAACUCAAGAAAUGCACUCGGUACUGGGUGACUAGAGGACCGGAGAGGAUAGUGGAAUUCCCAGUGUAGUGGUGAAAUACGUAGAGAUUGGGAAGAACACCAGUGGCGAAGGCGGCUAUCUGGACGGUUUCUGACGCUAAGACGCGAAAGCGUGGGGAGCAAACAGG